ACGAACGCUGGCGGCAGGCUUAACACCUGCCAGUCGAGCGCCCCGCAAGGGGAGCGGCAGACGGGUGAGUAACGCGUGGGAACGUACCUUUUGGUUCGGAACAACUCCGGGAAACUGGAGCUAAUACCGGAUAAGCCCUGACGGGGAAAGAUUUAUCGCCGAAAGAUCGGCCCGCGUCUGAUUAGCUAGUUGGUGAGGUAACGGCUCACCAAGGCGACGAUCAGUAGCUGGUCUGAGAGGAUGAUCAGCCACACUGGGACUGAGACACGGCCCAGACUCCUACGGGAGGCAGCAGUGGGGAAUAUUGGACAAUGGGCGCAAGCCUGAUCCAGCCAUGCCGCGUGAGUGAUGAAGGCCUUAGGGUUGUAAAGCUCUUUUGUCCGGGAAGAUAAUGACUGUACCGGAAGAAUAAGCCCCGGCUAACUUCGUG
rnacentral:rRNA from 1 species